CAUCUGCCUUCUAAGCAGAAUGUCGCAGGUUCGAGUCCUGCUGGGCAUGCCA
rnacentral:tRNA from 1 species